rnacentral:rRNA from 1 species
GACGAACGCUGGCGGCGUGCUUAACACAUGCAAGUCGAACGGAAAGGCCCUGCUUUUGUGGGGUGCUCGAGUGGCGAACGGGUGAGUAACACGUGAGUAACCUGCCCUUGACUUUGGGAUAACUUCAGGAAACUGGGGCUAAUACCGGAUAGGAGCUCCUGCUGCAUGGUGGGGGUUGGAAAGUUUCGGCGGUUGGGGAUGGACUCGCGGCUUAUCAGCUUGUUGGUGGGGUAGUGGCUUACCAAGGCUUUGACGGGUAGCCGGCCUGAGAGGGUGACCGGCACGAGGGGCGCGGGGGUGCCGGCACGCAGGCGAGGGGGGGCGGCGGGGGGGAGUAGGGACUGCGGGGCGGGGGCCGGAUGCAGCCAGGCGGGGGGGCGGAGGCGGGCCUCGGUGGUGACAGCGGCGUCCGCCGGGGCUGAGGGGGGAGGGGCGGUAAUGGGUAAAGAACCACCGGCAAACUACGGGCCAGCAGCGGCGGUAAUAAGGGGAAGAGCCCUCGUCUGACC